UAUUACCGCGGCUGCUGGCACAGAGUUAGCCGGUGCUUAUUCUGAUGGUACCGUCAAGACUUCAGCUAUUAACUGAAGUUUUUUCUUUCCAUCCUAAAGUGCUUUACAACCCGAAGGCCUUCUUCACACACGCGGCAUUGCUGGAUCAGGCUUUCGCCCAUUGUCCAAUAUUCCCCACUGCUGCCUCCCGUAGGAGU
rnacentral:rRNA from 1 species